rnacentral:rRNA from 1 species
GACGAACGCUGGCGGCGUGCUUAACACAUGCAAGUCGAACGGAAAGGCCCUGCUUUGGUGGGGUGCUCGAGUGGCGAACGGGUGAGUAACACGUGAGUAACCUGCCCUUGACUUUGGGAUAACUUCAGGAAACUGGGGCUAAUACCGGAUAGGAGCUCCUGCUGCAUGGUGGGGGUUGGAAAGUUUCGGCGGUUGGGGAUGGACUCGCGGCUUAUCAGCUUGUUGGUGGGGUAGUGGCUUACCAAGGCUUUGACGGGUAGCCGGCCUGAGAGGGUGACCGGCCAAAUUGGGACUGAGAUACGGCCCAGACUCCUACGGGAGGCAGCAGUGGGGAAUAUUGCACAAUGGGCGGAAGCCUGAUGCAGCAACGCCGCGUGCGGGAUGACGGCCUUCGGGUUGUAAACCGCUUUCGCCUGUGACGAAGCGUGAGUGACGGUAAUGGGUAAAGAAGCACCGGCUAACUACGUG